AUGAACGCUGGCGGCGUGCCUAAUACAUGCCAGUCGAGCGAACAGACGAGGAGCUUGCUCCUCUGACGUUAGCGGCGGACGGGUGAGUAACACGUGGAUAACCUACCUAUAAGACUGGGAUAACUUCGGGAAACCGGAGCUAAUACCGGAUAAUAUAUUGAACCGCAUGGUUCAAUAGUGAAAGACGGUUUUGCUGUCACUUAUAGAUGGAUCCGCGCCGCAUUAGCUAGUUGGUAAGGUAACGGCUUACCAAGGCAACGAUGCGUAGCCGACCUGAGAGGGUGAUCGGCCACACUGGAACUGAGACACGGUCCAGACUCCUACGGGAGGCAGCAGUAGGGAAUCUUCCGCAAUGGGCGAAAGCUUGACGGAGCAACGCCGCGUGAGUGAUGAAGGUCUUCGGAUCGUAAAACUCUGUUAUUAGGGAAGAACAAACGUGUAAGUAACUAUGCACGUCUUGACGGUACCUAAUCAGAAAGCCACGGCUAACUACGUG
rnacentral:rRNA from 1 species